ACAGUCAUCCUACGGGAAGCAGCAGUAGGGAAUCUUCCACAAUGGACGAAAGUCUGAUGGAGCAACGCCGCGUGAGUGAAGAAGGGUUUCGGCUCGUAAAGCUCUGUUGGUAGUGAAGAAAGAUAGAGGUAGUAACUGGCCUUUAUUUGACGGUAAUUACUUAGAAAGUCACGGCUAACUACGUGCC
rnacentral:rRNA from 1 species